UAUAUAUUCUCAAUUAUUUUUCUGUGCCUGCUUCGCAAGAAUAGAUUGUAUAUUCAACACACUUCACAGUACCAAAAUUUGAGGCUGAGGCUGUACCCAUAGACUCGACAUGCUUAACUCCCAAUAGGAAAAAGAAGAAGAAUAGUAACAACAUGAACAAAAGGAGGUUUAGUGAUGAACAAAUUAAAACACUGGAGGCAAUAUAUUAUUUGACUGAAUCGAAGUUGAAUUCGAGGCAGGUGAUCAAGCUAGCAACUAAGUUGGGCCUGCAACCUCAACAGAUUACUAUAUGGUUUCAGAACAAAAGAGCAAGAUGGAAGUCCAAAGAGAAGCAGGAGAAUUUCAAAAGCCUAAGAGCUAAGUGUGAUGAUCUAGCAUCUCAGUUUGAAACGUUACAGGAAGAGAACAACUCCUUGCUCUCACAGGUAUUUGAAACAGUUGCAGAAGCUAACCGUUCUUCAAGGACCUUGUGAGGGCGCUAUCAUUCGAAUGACAUUGAAAAAAACAACUCAUGAAACUCAUGAAAAGCCAAAAACCUUACCACAUGCAUUGGAACAGAUGUAUUCGAACGAUAACUAUAACACAAAAUGUUUAGUGAUUGGAGAAGGUGAACUUCAAAUGACCCAUUUGUUGGAAGGCAGAAGCGACCGCAUAUGCCACAUUGAGAAGCAACUUUUGAACCCAAAUGGAUCCUUUGAAACAUCUGACACAUGGUGCAUUUUUUAUGCCGAUGGUGGUGUCUAUGAAUAUCAGUCGUGUAGCAGUUUGCAGGGACAGAGUUUCUGGGGAUAAAGAAAGAUAAGAUGACCCAUAAUUUCAUGACUUAUUACUACCAGCUGAAAAAUUGCCAUUUAGACAACAGAUAUGAACAAAACUGAGUAACUGCCAACUGCUGCUAGCUGUUUUAGCAAGUACAUUCCUUCCUUAUCCUUGUGCAAUUUACGAAAAGAAGAGACAUAGGAACUGUAUUACUUUGAAAUGCAUUAGUAGCAUCCAAGAAGUAACGCAGACAGCUCAAUCAAUCGACCUUUAUAGGUAAUGCACACACAAUUGCUGAACUUCAUUUCCUUUCUGGGGGUGCCUCUUGUUAUGACUUCUGAGCAACAUCUGUUAACUAAGAUCAGUAGUUGAUCAACAAGUUAAAAAAAAGUAUAUUUUAUAUGAUCUUUUAAGUUAACCUUCAUAAAGUAGUUAUUACAUAUUCAAAGAGUUGUCAAAUUUUUAUUCGAAAUUCUUGUUAUUAUAUUUAAGUAUUUUGCGUUAUUUUUAAUAUGGGUUGAUAAGUAAAGAACCAAAAAUCGGAAAUAAGAAGCUGAAUAUUUGUACUCAGUUCAAAAACAAAACAUGCCAUUACACGAGAAUGUUAAAAAGUAAAAAA